rnacentral:rRNA from 1 species
GGAGGAAGGCGUUAAGGUUAAUAACCUUGUCGAUUGACGUUACCCGCAGAAGAAGCACCGGCUAACUCCGUGCCAGCAGCCGCGGUAAUACGGAGGGUGCAAGCGUUAAUCGGAAUUACUGGGCGUAAAGCGCACGCAGGCGGUCUGUCAAGUCGGAUGUGAAAUCCCCGGGCUCAACCUGGGAACUGCAUUCGAAACUGGCAGGCUAGAGUCUUGUAGAGGGGGGUAGAAUUCCAGGUGUAGCGGUGAAAUGCGUAGAGAUCUGGAGGAAUACCGGUGGCGAAGGCGGCCCCCUGGACAAAGACUGACGCUC